rnacentral:rRNA from 1 species
GACGGACGCUGGCGGCGUGCUUAACACAUGCAAGUCGAACGGAAAGGCCCUGCUUUUGUGGGGUGCUCGAGUGGCGAACGGGUGAGUAACACGUGAGUAACCUGCCCUUGACUUUGGGAUAACUUCAGGAAACUGGGGCUAAUACCGGAUAGGAGCUCCUGCUGCAUGGUGGGGGUUGGAAAGUUUCGGCGGUUGGGGAUGGACUCGCGGCUUAUCAGCUUGUUGGUGGGGUAGUGGCUUACCAAGGCUUUGACGGGUAGCCGGCCUGAGAGGGUGACCGGCCACAUUGGGACUGAGAUACGGCCCAGACUCCUACGGGAGGCAGCAGUGGGGAAUAUUGCACAAUGGGCGGAAGCCUGAUGCAGCAACGCCGCGUGCGGGAUGACGGCCUUCGGGUUGUAAACCGCUUUCGCCUGUGACGAAGCGUGAGUGACGGUAAUGGGUAAAGAAGCACCGGCUAACUACGUG